rnacentral:rRNA from 1 species
GACGAACGCUGGCGGCGUGCUUAACACAUGCAAGUCGAACGGAAAGGCCCUGCUUACAGGGUACUCGAGUGGCGAACGGGUGAGUAACACGUGGGUGAUCUGCCCUGCACUUCGGGAUAAGCCUGGGAAACUGGGUCUAAUACCGGAUAGGACCAUCGUUUAGUGUCGGUGGUGGAAAGUUUUUCGGUGCAGGAUGAGCUCGCGGCCUAUCAGCUUGUUGGUGGGGUAAUGGCCUACCAAGGCGUCGACGGGUAGCCGGCCUGAGAGGGUGGACGGCCACAUUGGGACUGAGACACGUCCCAGACUCCUACGGGAGGCAGCAGUGGGGAAUAUUGCACAAUGGGCGCAAGCCUGAUGCAGCGACGCCGCGUGGGGGAUGAAGGCCUUCGGGUUGUAAACUCCUUUCAACCAUGACGAAGCUUUUUGUGACGGUAGUGGUAGAAGAAGCACCGGCUAACUACGUGCCAGCAGCCGCCGUAA